CAGAAGUUGGGCUGGUCCAAGAGGAAGGAGUCCGAGAACUGGCUGAAGCCGAUGAACAGCGCCGGGAUCCAGAUUUGGAACUUUAAAAGACAGUGAGAAAUUCACUCCGUGCAUGAAAAUGCUGCUGGACCAGGCACCCCCAUUCCCUGGAGGAGCGGUUUGAUUAUGAUGAUGGCUUGACCACCGUCUGAAAAUGUGGGUUCUUGUUCAUUCAUAAAACAUCCAUUGACCUUGACGCCGUGUGCCCAUGUCCUGCGACGGGACAGCUGCUCAAAGGCCAAGGGGACUGACGGGGGCCUCUCAGCCCGGUCAGCAGUCGGUGGCGAAGCUGGAUGUUUUGAGAAGAGCAGCUGUGGGACACACACAGCCCUCCUGCCCCAGGUGGGGGCGAAGAAACCAGACCACAGGCUACGCGUGACUCACACCCAGCGCUUCAGAAGGAUUCGUCCCGGUGCUCCCUGAAGGCCUAGGACGCUUGUUUGCGCUGCCACUUCAGUGCUACUCCUGUGAAUUUGUUACAGUUUGUUCAUUUGUUUCCCUAUGGGUGAAGGUUGAGGCUGUUCCCGGUUGUUCUUUCUUAAACACAAUGAUUUGGAGGGACUUUGGCGGCUGCCGGAUACUCACCCUCCGUCGCCUGUGAGUGUGGCAGAUGCCUCCUCCCAGUCUGGCUGCUUUUGUUGCCGGCAUUGGUUUGGACUUUGUUUAUAGCGCCUUUUGUGACAUGCAAGCACUAAACUUUAACGUGGUCUGUUCCUAUUGCUGUUCGUCCGGUUUAUAGCUUGUUUCUGUCACAAAGACGUGCUCUUUAAUUCAGUGGGAACCGGCUGAGAAGAGUCACUGCAACAUCGCAGGUGGGCCUGGCUGCAGCUUCCUUGACCAUUUUCUUAACUAUCAGUGCAACGGUGUGUCCUUGUGGUAAUUAUCACGUGGUCUUGGUCUCCUGUGAUCUGCCUCUCCAGAGGACCGGCAGGUUCUCCACAUAAACGCAAGUCUUGGUGCGUCCACUUCCUCCCCUAAUCUCCUUGCGGUUCCCGAUGUCCGCCAGCCACCCUGGAGCUCUCCAGGGGCCCCGACUGUGACCUCGCUGGCCUGACUCAGGUGUGGUCAAAGGGGCUUAUUAUGAAUAACGAAUGACUUAUCUCUGUUUAAAA